UGCGAUAGGUUUGGCAUCCUGUGAAGAGUGUUGGUGACACGUUGAGGAUUGUUCGACGUGGGUGCAGAUUGCAGGAGAGGGUAUUCUUGCUGCAAUUCUGGUUUUGUGUGUGCAACUAUAUUUGGUUUUGGGUUAGAGAGGAGAUUUAUAUUUUUGCGUGGUGCUUCUAUAAAUUCCUUGUUUUAAAAACCACAACCAUUAUAAUGCAUUUGCUUCCUAGGUUGGAAGGACAUUGGAUGUAGACAUUGUUGGCCGAACCAGUAUAAACACAGUGUUUGAAUUUUCUGAUCCCUACACUCUUUAUUUUCCAGUCGACUAUAUCUGCUAGGCAGUCAACUGCGUUUUUCUACUGCAUUACAUUUUCAAUAACUUGCAUUUCAAGGAAAGAUCAAAAGCUUUGAAUUUUUCAUAGCAAGAUUGCGAAAAGAUUUUAAUUUUGAAUUAACACCAAUUCACCCCCCCUCUUGGUGUAUAAAAGAAGCCUACCUGGUUCAUAACAUUUCUUUCCCACAUCACACGGCCGAAAGAGUCAUAAAUAGCAAAUCAUUCAUCUUUCACACUCCUAUCCUCACUCUCACGUAACGUCCUAUUAAAUCCAUGGUUCCUCCACAAGUCAUUCCUCUCUUUUUUCCUUUCCACCAACCACAGUUUCACGUCACCCAUCAUCAUCAUCACUCCAAAUUUACCAUGCACCCCAACAACCAUAUAGAUUGCAAUAUAUAAUAAAGAAUAUCAUACAAUGGCAAACCAAACACACAAGGUAAUUAUAGUCACUCUCCUUACCUGGUCUAAUACGAUUUUUGUUUCCAAGAUCAUCAAGAAAGCUUCACAACGUCACCGAUGGUCCUCUCACUUUUGAUGCCUCGUUCUCAACUUUAUUUUCUCCUAGAAAACGUCUUUUCUCUCUCUUCUCUUUAUAAUUUUAGUUUUUCCCCCUUAGGGUAGAAAAAUGCCAAUCCCUUUUUACUCUUCUCCUUUUUAUCCCCUUCUAUUCUAUCUCUAUCUUUUUAAUAUUUAUAAAAUCUCUCAGUUUAUAUCUAAAACCACUAAAAUUUCCUCU
rnacentral:lncRNA from 1 species